rnacentral:sRNA from 1 species
AAAACACUUAGAGCAUCUCCAAUGUAAAAAUGAAGCUUUCUUCAUAGGUUCUAUGUUUUUAAGUUGGAAAAAAUAUAUCAGAAUGAUUUAUUUUUUGAGAGAGCUGUCUCUCUUGAGAUAGAUUUUGAAAAGCAAAAGAGACUAUUACGUGUCAUGUUUUGCCCGAUUUUUUGACAAAACAAGAAGAAGAAAAAAACGAUUCUUUGACAAAACAAGAAAGAAAAAAAACAGUCUUUUUGGCGAUAGCGAUUAGGUCGGAGAUUUCUCUGAUUACAUUGAUUGGGACUAAAAUCCAGUGUGAUUAAAUUGUUGAUCGAAGACUCAAUCAUAGACGAUCCUUUAGUGAAGAAGCAAAAUCACGGAGAACGGCGAGAAGAAUGUGAAAUCGAGAGCAUCGUUAGAGGAGCUUUAUGAUUUAUAGAGGCAGAGGAUGGAGAAGCGUCGGCCGGAAACAAUGUGCAUAGGUACGACCUUGAGGUUAGUUUAUUC